AUCUACAGCCAUGCCACCCUGAACACGCCUGAUCUCGUCUGAUCUCGGAAGCUAAGCAAUGUCAGGCCUGGUUAGUACUUGGAUAGGAGACCACCUAGGAAGACCGGGUGCUGUAGAUG
rnacentral:rRNA from 1 species